GACGAACGCUGGCGGCGUGCUUAACACAUGCAAGUCGAGCGGUAAGGCCCUUUCGGGGGUACACGAGCGGCGAACGGGUGAGUAACACGUGGGUGACCUGCCCUCAGCUCUGGGAUAAGCCUGGGAAACUGGGUCUAAUACUGGAUAUGACUCCACGGUGCAUGUCGUGGGGUGGAAAGCCUUGUGCGGCUGAGGAUGGGCCCGCGGCCUAUCAGCUUGUUGGUGGGGUGANGGCCUACCAAGGCGACGACGGGUAGCCGGCCUGAGAGGGCGACCGGCCACACUGGGACUGAGAUACGGCCCAGACUCCUACGGGAGGCAGCAGUGGGGAAUCUUGCGCAAUGGGCGAAAGCCUGACGCAGCGACGCCGCGUGAGGGAUGACGGCCUCGGUUGUAAC
rnacentral:rRNA from 1 species